UAUAUAAUAGGGGCCCAUCCAGCCGUCCGUCAACACCUACUUCUAUUCACACGCAGAGGAAUUUGAGGCACAAAUUGCCAAGCUGUGCUUUCAUAACAAGCUCCAAUGAGAACAUCUGACCGUGAAAAGCCUUUCAACUGACCAACUCGAUGCCAUCAGAUUAUUCCACAACGUUUAAAGAAUUAAACUGAUGCUUCACGCUCGGAUGUCUGCUUUGCUUCCGUAAAUCGUAAAUCUACUGUGAUUUGAUUGGUCGUCACCUCAACCUCAACCUCAACGAGGUGUAAAUAUAAAUGUAGAGCCACACAGCUUUAAAGCAACACAAAGGACCAAAUGAACCAAGUACGAGUGUGAACAAGCCUCAAGAAAAACCAUUAGUAUGACUGUUGUGGACUUAACCAGCGUCAUUUCUCCAGUGUGUGUCGACAGAAAUCAACUUUUACACUAAACAUCAGUCAAGAAACACAGGAUGAAGUUUCCGGCAGUUCAGCGCGAGACAUGGCUCGUUUUGCUCACUUUUCUGCACAUGUGGAUUGGAUCAAGUAAUGGAUGCCUUUAUCCAGGCGGUGAUUAUGAGUUUAAAUUGAAACUGGACAAGAAUGUCAUCCCUGCUUUGGCGGGAUGUGCACAGAUCCCCUGUGCGUAUUCUGCUCCAAUGAGAACACAUUCAGGCCGGCUGGUCUGGUUCAGCGGGAGCCCCGACUUCCCCAUCAGCCCACGAGAUAUGGAGCGUAAGGACGGCCUGCUGAGACCACUGGCUUCUAUUCUAGAAGAAUGCAGCAUCGUUCUGUGGGACUUCAGUGGACAUGAAAGAGUCGAAGAAUAUGGAGUCAUGUUAGAAUGGGGAACCAAUGAAACACAUGUUUACGAUGAGAGAGUCGCGGUGUCUUAUUCUGCUG